GUCCUUUUCUUCAUUGGAACAAGAAUUUAUGUGCAUGUAAAGCCAGAGGGAAGCAUUUUUUCUAGCAUUGCUCAGGUGUUUGUUGCUGCUUAUAGAAAGAGAGGGCUUAAGCUUCCUGAUGAUGGAGUCGUGGAGGUUGAAGGGGUCUUUUAUGAUCCUCCGGUGAAGGAGACUGUAUUGUCUAAGCUCCCUCUCACAAAUCAGUUCAGGUUCUUAAACAAGGCAGUCAUGAUAGAGAAAGACGACCUAAACCCUGAUGGUUCUUGUGCAAAUCAAUGGAGGCUCUGCAGUAUCCAACAGAUAGAAGAGGUGAAGUGUCUGUUCAAAAUUAGUCCAAUAUGGGCUUCUGGUAUUAUUAGCCUCACUUCCAUGUCACAG
rnacentral:misc_RNA from 1 species